AUUUUUUUUUAUUUUUUAUUUUUUUAUCAGCAAAGCAGAAUUUUAUUGAUGAUAUUGUGAGGGCUUAGAUUCUUCAAUGCGAGUGUUUAUUUAGAGUGGGCUUUUGCUGUGCUUUUAAGAGAGUAAAGUUCGGUGGAUUUCAGGCCCAACCCAUAGAAAGCCCAUCCCCUGAAAACCCACCCAAAAACUUCGUCGUUUUGAGGAAUGGAAGUGAAUCAACCCUAUUCCUCCCUCCCGUUCCAGAUGCGCCGCACGAAGGCUCCACUCCAACUUCUUCUUUCUUUUUUUUUUCAGUCCACCACCACGCUGACUCCACUAGUCGGCAUGGUUCCCGUCUCCCUGCCACCGUCUGAGCCACCACCAGUUGCCCCUGUCGCUGCGAGUCUGCUGUACCCUUCGCGAGCUUCCUCUCAACUCGUGAGCACCGAUGGCCACCGCGAGCUACACUCACACGUUACGGCCUCGCGUCCCUCCCCCGUGACCUGCGCUCCACCAGGCGUGCCGGAUGGCCGCCGUGGGUGGGUCUCGUCGUUAUGGGUCUCUCGGCCUAUAAGGGGCCGAGCUCCUCCCCUUUUGUUUUCACCUCAAAAAUCACAUUUUCUCCUCUUAUUAUCUACUCUAUCGUGUUCCCCAGCCUCAAAACCCCCUUCCCGUGACAUUUAGGAAGUUUCCCGUCCAGCGCCACCGUGCACCGCCGCGCACCUCCCCUCCCAGCCGUGUUCCAGUCGCUGCUCAACCACAUGCUCACCUUCCCCUUCCCAUUCCCAACACCCUCUUCCCACGAAACGGCCCAACCCGUGAGCUAGGCUCACAUGUAGCCACUGGCCCGCCAUGCUCUGCCGUGCCCGGCCGUGAAGAACCCCUCCUCCACCCACUGCCACCACAUUCUGGCUUUCCCCUAAUUUCUCCGGUUGUAAACCUCGCCGUACAGACCAGAUCCGCCUAUGUCUGUGCAUAGCAGCUGCUGCCACCGUGCCCUGCCCCUUUUGACGCCGCCACUCGUCGCGCUUUCUCGCAAAGAGUUCCGGAAGUGCGGAGCUCUUAGUUUCGUCGCUCGCUUGAUCAUCCAGAUAUUCCUUUCAGCAUAAAUCGAAGAAAACGGUAACGCUCUCGAGUCAUCUCUGUAGCCCCUCUGCUGGCAGGAGCUAGAGGAUGCCUAGUCACGAUACACGUUAGGCGUGAAACUAUCGUUCGUUACAAAGUCACAAAUACGGUCGUUACUCGUGGUUUGAUGAAGCUAGUCAGGAUGUGUGAAUGUGCUGAUGGGAGACCAUGGUGUACAUGUAAUAAGUGGUUGUGGUUGGGCCAAUGAGAUUUUUGGCAUGUGUGGUUCUGGUGAAAUGUGUUUUUAUGGAAAAAGAACGUUAGAAAAUGGAUAUUGUGGUCUUUUGCAUGUAUGGUUGUUUUGUACCUUGGUCUCAAAAGUGUUUCGAAUUUAUCAUAUAUAUGAAUCUUUGCUAUCUCUUUCAAAGUUA